rnacentral:rRNA from 1 species
UUUUUUUAUAUAAAAUUUUUUCACUGUCAGAAUGAACGCUGGCGGCAGGCCUAACAACAUGCAAGUCGAGCGGAUGAACGGGAGCUUGCUCCUGGAGUCAGCGGCGGACGGGUGAGUAAUGCCUUGGAAUCUGCCUGGUAGUGGGGGAUAACGUCCGGAAACGGGCGCUAAUACCGCAUACGUCCUGAGGGAGAAAGUGGGGGAUUUUUUAGACCUCACGCUAUCAGAUGAGCCUAGGUUGGAUUAGGUAGUUGGUGGGGUAAAGGCCUACCAAGGGGACGAUUCGUAAGUGGUUUGAGAGGAUGAUCAGUCACACUGGAAAUGAGACCCGGUCCAGAAUUCUUCGGGAGGCAGCCGUGGGGAAUUUUGGACAAUGGGGGAAAGCCUGAUCCAGCCAUUCCGGGUGUGUGAAGAAGGUCUUCGGAUUGUAAAGCCCUUUAAGUCGGGAGGAAGGGCAGUAAGUUAAUUCCCUGCUGUUUUGACGUUACCAACAGAAUAAGCCCCGGCUAAAUUCGUGCCAGCAGCCGCGGUAAUACGAAGGGUGCCAGCGUUAAUUGGAAUUACUGGGCGUAAAGCGCGCGUAGGUGGUUCAGCAAGUUGGAUGUGAAAUCCCCGGGCUCAACCUGGGAAAUGCAUCCAAAAAUACUGAGGUAGAGUACGGUAGAGGGGGGUGGAAUUUCCUGUGUAGCGGUGAAAUGGGUAGAUAUAGGAAGGAACACCAGUGGGGAAGGCGACCACCUGGAGUGAUACUGACAGUGAGGUCAGAAAGGGUGGGGAGCAAACAGGAUUAGAUUCCCUGGUAGUUCCCGCCGUAAGGGACGAUGUUGACUAGCCGUUGGGAUCCUUGAGAUCUUAGUGGCGCAGCUAACGCGAUAAGUCGACCGCCGGUGGAGUACGGCCGCACAAGUUAAAACUCAAAUGAAUUGACGGGAGCCCGCACAACCGGGGAAGCAUGUGAUUUAAUUCAAACCAACCCGAAAAACCUUACCUGGCCUUGACAUGCUGAAAACUUUCCAAAAAUGGAUUGGUGCCUUCGGGAACUCAGACACAGGUGCUGCAUGGCUGUCGUCAGCUCGUGUCGUGAGAUGUUGGGUUAAGUCCCGUAACGAGCGCAACCCUUGUCCUUAGUUACCAGCACCUCGGGUGGGCACUCUAAGGAGACUGCCGGUGACAAACCGGAUGAAGGUGGGGAUGACGUCAAGUCAUCAUGGCCCUUACGGCCAGGGCUACACACGUGCUACAAUGGUCGGUACAAAGGGUUGCCAAGCCGCGAAGUGGAGCUAAUCCCAUAAAACCGAUCGUAGACCGGAUCCCAGUCUGCAACUCCACUGCGUGAAAUCGGAAUCGCUAGUAAUCGUGAAUCAGAAUGUCACGGUGAAUACCUUCCCGGGCCUUGUACACCCCGCCCGUCACACCAUGGGAGUGGGUUGCUCCAGAAGUAGCUAGUCUAACCGCAAGGGGGACGGUUACCACGGAGUGAUUCAUGACUGGGGUGAAGCGUAAAAACGAAAACCAAA